CAUUAAGAAGCUACAUAGCAUCAGCCUUUUAAGCUGAAAAUUGAGAGUCUAAAUCCCUCCUUAAUGG